rnacentral:rRNA from 1 species
AUUGAACGCUGGCGGCAUGCCUUACACAUGCAAGUCGAACGGCAGCACGGGAGCAAUCCUGGUGGCGAGUGGCGAACGGGUGAGUAAAGUAUCGGAACGUGCCCAGUCGUGGGGGAUAACGUAGCGAAAGUUACGCUAAUACCGCAUACGAUCUAUGGAUGAAAGCGGGGGAUCGCAAGACCUCGCGCGAUUGGAGCGGCCGAUAUCAGGUUAGGUAGUUGGUGGGGUAAAGGCUCACCAAGCCGACGAUCUGUAGCUGGGCUGAGAGGACGACCAGCCACACUGGGACUGAGAAACGGCCCAGACUCCUACGGGAGGCAGCAGUGGGGAAUUUUGGACAAUGGGCGAAAGCCUGAUCCAGCCAUGCCGCGUGCAGGAUGAAGGCCUUCGGGUUGUAAACUGCUUUUGUACGGAACGAAAAGGUUUGGGCUAAUAAGCUGAGCUCAUGACGGUACCGUAAGAAUAAGCACCGGCUAACUACGUGCCAGCAGCCGCAGUAA